rnacentral:rRNA from 1 species
UACGUAGGUCCCGAGCGUUGUCCGGAUUUAUUGAGCGUAAAGCGAGCGCAGGUGGUUUAUUAAGUCUGGUGUAAAAGGCAGUGGCUCAACCAUUGUAUGCAUUGGAAACUGGUAGACUUGAGUGCAGGAGAGGAGAGUGGAAUUCCAUGUGUAGCGGUGAAAUGCGUAGAUAUAUGGAGGAACACCGGUGGCAAAAGCGGCUCUCUGGCCUGUAACUGACACUGAGGCUCGAAAGCGUGGGGAGCAGACAGG